rfam:Cavia porcellus supercont2_2 genomic scaffold, whole genome shotgun sequence.
GGAGGUUUAGCUCAGCGGCAUAAGUGCCUGCCUUGCAUGCAGGCAGUCAUGAGUUCAAUCCCCAUUACCGAUA